ACAUUCAUCUCUUGCAUUCGUUCCUGCAACAUCUCAAUCAUGGUUUCUCGCGUCGUGUUGGUCGUACUGGUGGUGGUCGUCCUAGCGGCCGCAGCACUGGCUCUCCCUGACCCCACCAAACGGCACUUGGGAUACGGCUUGUACGGAGGAUACGGAGGAUACGGCCUCGGAGGAUUUGGCUUGGGAGGCUACGGAGGAUACGGAGGCUAUGGAUCCCACUAUCCUUAUUACGGAUCCUACUACGGAUAGGUGAGGCUGCCAUGUAACAUGUAAACACUGUUGCAUCUCUCACCUCCGACUUCGAACAAGUUGAUUCCAACUCCUUCCAAAAAUCGUCAAGGAUUUGAAUGGAUACGACAUGAACUGAUAUUUAUGUGAUAUACUUUAUACCGUUUCGCUUGCACUGCGAGAUAUGAUGAAUUUCUUUAUAAUAAAACAUACUUAUUAAA